AACGAACGCUGGCGGCAUGCCUAACACAUGCGAGUCGAACGAGACCUUCGGGUCUAGUGGCGCACGGGUGCGUGACGCGUGGGAACCUGCCCUUAGGUUCAGAAUAACUCCCCGAAAGGGGUGCUAAUACCGGAUAAUGUCUUCGGACCAAAGAUUUAUCGCCUUUGGAUGGGCCCGCGUUGGAUUAGCUAGUUGGUAGGGUAAAAGCCUACCAAGGCGACGAUCCAUAGCUGGUCUGAGAGGAUGAUCAGCCACACUGGGACUGAGACACGGCCCAGACUCCUACGGGAGGCAGCAGUGGGGAAUAUUGGACAAUGGGCGAAAGCCUGAUCCAGCAAUGCCGCGUGAGUGAUGAAGGCCUUAGGGUUGUAAAGCUCUUUUACCCGGGAUGAUAAUGACAGUACCGGGAGAAUAAGCUCCGGCUAACUCCGUG
rnacentral:rRNA from 1 species